rnacentral:rRNA from 1 species
AGCUCCAAUAGCGUAUAUUAGUGUUGUUGCGGUUAAAAAGCUCGUAGUUGAAUUUCGGGAUUGGGAUAUAUCGAUCAUGGCUUUAGGGACAUGAAUCGGUGUGUGGUCAAUUCUCACCUUCUGGUGAAUCGGGAUGCCCUCGGGUGUUUCGGUGAACCAGGACUUUUACUUUGAAAAAAUUAGAGUGUUUAAAGCGGGCAUUUUUGCUUGAAUAUAUUAGCAUGGAAUAAUAAAAUAGGACGAUGGUUCUAUUUUGUUGGUUUUAGGACCACGUAAAGAUUAAUAGGGAUAGUUGGGGGCAUUAGUAUUCAAUAGUCAGAGGUGAAAUUCUUGGAUUUAUUGAGGACUAACUACUGCGAAAGCAUUUGCCAAGGAUGUUUUCA